GACGUAGGGCGCGAGCGUUGUCCGGAUUUAUUGGGCGUAAAGAGCUCGUAGGCGGCUUGUUGCGUCAGCUGUGAAAACCCGCAGCUCAACUGUGGGCUUGCAGCUGAUACGGGCAGGCUUGAGUUCGGUAGGGGAGACUGGAAUUCCUGGUGUAGCGGUGAAAUGCGCAGAUAUCAGGAGGAACACCAGUGGCGAAGGCGAGUUCCUGGACAAGUCCUGACGCUGAGGCACGAAAGCCAGGGGAGCAAACAGG
rnacentral:rRNA from 1 species